rnacentral:rRNA from 1 species
UCGCUAGUAAUCGCAGAUCAGAAUGCUGCGGUGAAUACGUUCCCGGGUCUUGUACACACCGCCCGUCACACCAUGGGAGUUGGAAAUGCCCGAAGUCGGUGACCUAACCGAAAGGGAGGAGCCGCCGAAGGCAGGUCUGAUAACUGGGGUGAAGUCGUAACAAGGUAAC